GACGAACGCUGGCGGCGUGCUUAACACAUGCAAGUCGAACGAGAAUCUGUGGAAAGAGGAUUCGUCCAAUUGAAACAGAGGACAGUGGCGGACGGGUGAGUAACGCGUGAGGAACCUGCCUUUCAGAGGGGGACAACAGUUGGAAACGACUGCUAAUACCGCAUAACGCAUAGAGAUCGCAUGGUCUUUAUGCCAAAGAUUUAUCGCUGAAAGAUGGCCUCGCGUCUGAUUAGCUAGUUGGCGGGGUAACGGCCCACCAAGGCGACGAUCAGUAGCCGGACUGAGAGGUUGAACGGCCACAUUGGGACUGAGAUACGGCCCAGACUCCUACGGGAGGCAGCAGUGGGGAAUAUUGGGCAAUGGGCGCAAGCCUGACCCAGCAACGCCGCGUGAAGGAAGAAGGCUUCGGGUUGUAAACUCUUUUGUCAGGGACGAGGAGAAGACGGUACCUGACGAAUAAGCCACGGCUAACUACGUGCCAGCAGCCGCGGU
rnacentral:rRNA from 1 species